UGUUGCCUACCGAUGAAGGAUGGCUGGAACAGGGUCUCUGGGCAGCGGAAACGUUCAUUUCCGAUGGAAAGAGGUGGUGCUGUCUCAGGACCAGGCCUAGUCCAGAAGGUUUCAGCGGUGCAUACUGAACGAGAUACGGAAGAAGUGGGCAGGGAGAGACCUUUCAGACUUCUGCUCUCUGAAGUUCUAGGCUAUUAAUUAUAUCUGAGGCUCUAGGAACCUUUUAGAGGCAUCUUGGGAUUCUUUGUAGGGAGCAGAGGAGGAAUGCAAUUAUUCAACUUCAUAUUGCAAGUGGAGACUUUAACAUUGGCAGGGUUCAAGUCUCAAGCCUCAAAUUUGGAGCAUAAAAUAAGCCUCAGGCAUGUUCAGAAACCUAAAUGUUUGGACAAUACCAAAUUGCUAAGGGGAGGACAGGUAGCUGGAGCCACCAGCACUGAGGACAUACAAUGUUUCUGGCAAUGCUGACACUUUCCUCUUGUGAAGGGAGGACUGGGUGCACCGGCUUAGAAUCUGAAUACACAUAUGUCACUGUGUUAGCUAUUAAUAAGUAUCACUGUUAAUAGCUAACAAUUAUUGAAUGCUUACUCUAUGUCAAGUAUUCCACAUGCGUUCUUCCAUUUAAUACUGAUAACAAUCAUGUGAUAUAGGGUCUAUUAUUAUCCCCAUUUUACAAAU
ensembl:lncRNA ACTA2-AS1 ACTA2 antisense RNA 1